AGCGAACGCUGGCGGCGUGCCUAACACAUGCAAGUCGAACGUGAAAGGGAGCAAUCCCAAGUAAAGUGGCGUACGGGUGAGUAACACGUAGGUAAUCUACCCCAGAAUCUGGAAUAACCGGCCGAAAGGCUGGCUAAUACUGGAUAGAGCGACGGAAUCCGUAAUUGGGUUUUUCGGGAAAGGGAGCCUGUAAAAAGGCCUUCGUUCUGGGAUGAGCCUGCGUCCCAUCAGCUAGUUGGUGAGGUAAAAGCUUACCAAGGCAAUGACGGGUAGCUGGUCUGAGAGGACGGUCAGCCACACUGGGACUGAAACACGGUCCAGACUCCUACGGGAGGCAGCAGUGGGGAAUCGUGCGCCAUGGGCGGGAGUCUGACGCAGCAGCGCCGCGUGAGUGAAGAAGGCCGUCGGGUUGUGAAGCUCUGUCGAGUGGGACGAAAAUGCUUGGGGUUGACAGCUCCAGGAACUGACGGUACCACUAAAAGAAGCACCGGCUAACUCCGUG
rnacentral:rRNA from 1 species